CGCAUCUGUGCAUGCAGCAUAUCAAUAAGCGGAAGGAAAAGAAACUAACAAGGAUUCCCUUAGUAACGGCGAGUGAAGCGGGAAGAGCUCAAAUUUGAAAUCUUCAAGGUUUUACCUUGACGAAUUGUAGUUUAAAGAAGUGUUUUCUGUUGAAGUUUUGGUAAAAGUUCUUUGGAAUAGGACAUCAUAGAGGGUGAGAAUCCCGUAUUUGACCAUUAUUUUCAGCUGUGUGAUACACUUUCAAAGAGUCGGAUUGUUUGGGAAUGCAGUCCAAAAUGGGUGGUAAAUUUCAUCUAAAGCUAAAUAUUGGCGAGAGACCGAUAGCGAACAAGUACCGUGAGGGAAAGAUGAAAAGAACUUUGAAAAGAGAGUUAAACAGUACGUGAAAUUGUCAAAAGGGAAGCGUUUGACACCAGUGUUGUUUUCUCGAAAAUCAAUUAAAAAGAGUUAGAUUUUGUUGUGUAUUGACCUUAACAGCUUGCAUUUCAAUUUUCUUGCUUUUUUUAAUGCACUUUUCGUUUAACAAGUCAACAUCAGUUUCUUUUGUUGUAAAAAGGUCAUUGGAAGGUGGCUUUCUUUUCGGAGAAAGUGUUUAUAGCCUUUGACUCCUGCAAUCGGAGAGACUGAGGUCUGCAGCGUAGAUCCUUCGGGGUUAGAUACAUUUGUGCUAAGUUAUAGCUUUUUAUAGACAACUUGUUGACUAUGAUUAGUCUUGUAGCUUACUCGCUUAUGCUAUUUUACCUACGCUUAGGAUGUUGAUCUGUAGUGCGUGCGC
rnacentral:rRNA from 1 species